GAUGAAGAACGUAGCGAAAUGCGAUAAGUAAUGUGAAUUGCAGAAUUCAGUGAAUCAUCGAAUCUUUGAACGCACAUUGCGCCCGCCAGUAUUCUGGCGGGCAUGCCUGAUCGAGCGUCAUUUCAACCAUCAAGCCCCCGGCUUGUGUUGGGGACCUGCGGCUGCCGCAGGCCCUGAAAAGCAGUGGCGGGCUCGCUGUCACACCGAGCGUAGUAGCAUACAUCUCGCUCUGGGCGUGCUGCGGGUUCCGGCCGUUAAACCACCUUCAUAACCCAAGGUUGACCUCGGAUCAGGUAGGAAGACCCGCUGAACUUAAGCAUAUCAAUAAGCGGAGGA
rnacentral:misc_RNA from 1 species